CAAUAGCGUAUAUUUAAGUUGUUGCAGUUAAAAAGCUCGUAGUUGGAUUUCGGGUGGGACGCAGCGGUCUCGCAUUGCGUUUGUACUGCUGCAGCCCUCCUUCUUGCCGGGGGCGGCCUCUCGGACUUCACUGUCUGGGGGUCAGAAUCGGCGAUGUUACUUUGAGUAAAUUAGAGUGUUCAAAGCAAGCUUACGCUCUGAAUAUAAUAGCAUGGGAUAACACGACAGGACUCUGGCCUAUCGUGUUGGUCUAUAGGACCAGAGUAAUGAUUAAGAGGGACAGUCGGGGGCAGUCGUAUUCCGUUGUCAGAGGUGAAAUUCUUGGAUUUACGGAAGACGAACAUCUGCGAAAGCAUUUGCCAAGGAUGUUUUCAUUGA
rnacentral:rRNA from 1 species